GCCUGGCUGGUUUAGUUGGUAGAGCAUAUGACUCUCGAUCUUGGGGUUGUGAGUUCGAGCCCCAGGUUGGGCG
rnacentral:tRNA from 1 species